GAUGAACGCUGGCGGCGUGCCUAAUACAUGCAAGUCGAGAGAAGCGGGGACGGGUGAGUAACACGUGGAUAACCUCCUAUACGACCGGGAUAACUUCGGGAAACCGGAGCUAAACCGGAUACUUAUCGAUGGAUCCGCGCUGCAUCAGCUAGUUGGUAAGGUAACGGCUUACCAAGGCCACGAUGCAUAGCCGACCUGAGAGGAUUAUCGGCCACACUGAAACUGAGACGCGGUCCAGACUCCUACGGGUGGCAGCAGUAGGGAAUCUUCCGCAAUGGGCGAAAGCCUGACAGAGCAACGCCGCGUGAGUGAUAAAGGUCUUCGGAUCGUAAAACUCUGUUAUUGGGGAAGCGGUACCUAAUCAGAAAGCCACGGCUAACUACGUGCCAGCAGCCGCGGUAAUUC
rnacentral:rRNA from 1 species